ACAACUAAGAUACUAUUUCAAGUUAAGAAAUUUAUUAAAUACAUGGCAAAGUAAACAAAGCAGUAUAAAUUCAAGCAAGAUAAACAAAAAACGUAAGAAGGGAGAUAACCUGUGAAAUGUUCAAAGGGGAGACAAAUCUGUGAGGUUUGUGUAACUUUAAUAUACUGUAUUCAAAAACUAAAAAAAAAAUUACAGUGUUUUUAAAGAAGAUUCUUUUUUCUUCUUAAAACAUAGUCGCAUUAUUUUGGUUUGCUCCUUGAAAAAAUUCAGAGUUGCACGAAAAAUGCAAUUUUUUUUGAUGGUUUACAACAAAACUGAAGAUAAAUUUGUUAUUUCUCAUUUUUCACUAAGUGGGUAUAAGCACACCAUCAGUAGUAUUUAAAAUUCUGUGUACACUUUACAUACUGGUAUAUCUGUUCUAAGAAUAUAUUCCAGUGUUUAUUUUAGUCCCUCUAGUUUUUACCUCCCCCAAGUAAAUGUUCAUAUCAUGUAAACCAGAAAAAAUUGAAGGGUAUUAAAGCACUUCUUAUAGUUGCUGAUUUGUCUACAAUUUAGUCAAAAUAUGCUAUGUAGUUCUGGAGGAGCAGCACUAUAAAGAGAAAGUUAUAGGCCAACGGUGGACACCAGAACAUGAUGUAACUCUCUUGCUGUUUUGGCAAGUGCAAUAAAACUUUUAAAAAAUUAACAAUUAAAUAAUAAAGAUGUACCCUAGUUUAAUCUCAUCUUGUAAAUAUCUAAUACAGGUGAAUUAUAAUAACAUGUCACACCCAGGUAAGUCCUAACAUGUCAUACCCAGGUAAAUCAAGACAUGACAAUCCCAGGUAAGUCCUAACAUGUCAUACCCAGGUAAAUCAAGACAUGACAUACCCAGGUAAGUCCUAACAUGUCGUACCCAGGUAAAUCAAGACAUGACAUACCCAGGUAAGUCCUAACAUGUCAUACCCAGGUAAAUCAAGACAUGAUAAUCCCAGGUAAGUCCUAACAUGUCAUACCCAGGUAAAUCAAGACAUGACAAUCCCAGAUAAGUCCUAACAUGUCGUACCCAGGUAAAUCAAGACAUGACAUACCCAGGUAAGUCCUAACAUGUCGUACCCAGGUAAGUCCUAACAUGUCAUACCCAGGUAAAUCAAGACAUAACAAUCCCAGGUAAGUCCUUACAUGGCAUACCCAGGUAAAUCAAGACAUGACAAUCCCAGGUAAGUCCUAACAUGUCAUACCCAGGUAAAUCAAGACAUGACAUACCCAGGUAAGUCCUAACAUGUCGUACCCAGGUAAAUCAAGACAUGACAUACCCAGGUAAGUCCUAACAUGUCAUACCCAGGUAAAUCAAGACAUGACAAUCCCAGGUAAGUCCUAACAUGUCGUACCCAGGUAAAUCAAGACAUGACAUAUGCAGGUAAGUCCUAACAUGUCGUACCUAGUAAAUCAAGACAUGACAUACCCAGGUAAGUCCUAACAUGUCAUACCCAGGUAAGUCCUAACAUGUCAUACCCAGGUAAAUCAAGACAUGACAAUCCCAGGUAAGUCCUUACAUGUCAUACCCAGGUAAAUCAAGACAUGACAAUCCCAGGUAAGUCCUAACAUGUCAUACCCAGGUAAAUCAAGACAUGACAUACCCAGGUAAGUCCUAACAUGUCGUACCCAGGUAAAUCAAGACAUGACAUACGCAGGUAAGUCCUAACAUGUCAUACCCAGGUAAAUCAAGACAUGACAAUCCCAGGUAAGUCCUAACAUGUCAUACCCAGGUAAAUCAAGACAUGACAUACCCAGGUAAGUCCUAACAUGUCGUACCCAGGUAAAUCAAGACAUGACAUACGCAGGUAAGUCCUAACAUGUCAUACCCAGGUAAAUCAAGACAUGACAAUCCCAGGUAAGUCUUAACAUGUCAUACCCAGGUAAAUCAAGACAUGACAUACGCAGGUAAGUCCUAACAUGUCGUACCUAGUAAAUCAAGACAUGACAUACCCAGGUAAGUCCUAACAUGUCAUACCCAGGUAAAUCAAGACAUGACAAUCCCAGGUAAGUCCUAACAUGUCGUACCCAGGUAAAUCAAGACAUGACAAUCCCAGGUAAGUCCUAACAUGUCGUACCCAGGUAAAUCAAGACAUGACAUACGCAGGUAAGUCCUAACAUGUCAUACCCAGAUCAAGCAUAAUAUAAAUGCCUUAGUAUAUGUCAAAAUGUAUCCAAGAACUUAUUGCUACUGCUGGUGCUGAGUGAUAAGGUAUAUGUCAACACAUACUUAUCAAGGUCUGCAUUAAUGUUUAAGUAAAGAAUUUUUUUUAUCGUCCUAAUUUCCUGCACGUUACCAACUCCUGCAGAAGCAAAAAUGUAGCAUUUUAUUUUUAGAUUUUGUAAAACUAAAGAUAACCUGCACUGGAAGAUUAUUUGUGGGUAAUACAUUAAAUGAUAUCUACUAGAAAAGUAACAGUUCAACUAUCUAAAUAUGAAUUAAUGACGUAACAAUUUAUAAAACAGCUAUAUAAACAUGAUUAUAGAAGACAAGGAUAUAAAGAUCAACAUAGUUGGCAUGUGUGCAAGGAAACCACAUAUGGCCUGCUUCAGCAGAUGGACCACAAAAGGCAUCUUCAAAUGUCAAAAUUGGCCUGCUUCAGCAGAUGGACCACAAAAGGCAUCUUCAAAUGUCAAAAUUGUAUCGCCCUUGGGGUUUAUGCUGGAAAUUACAGUAUAUUUUUAGAAGUUUUACUAAAAUAUUCAGAACCAAAUCUUCAUUAAAGACAGGAUUGCUUUUUGUUUUGUUUAUUAUGCAAUAUGUAAAAUUAUAGACCAAAAGAAACCAAUCUAAAGUAUUCUUCAAUACCAUGUUAAUAAUAAAAUAAUAAAA